rnacentral:rRNA from 1 species
CCUACGGGGGGCAGCAGUGAGGAAUAUUGGUCAAUGGGCGCGAGCCUGAACCAGCCAAGUCGCGUGAGGGAGGACGGCCCUACGGGUUGUAAACCUCUUUUGCCGGGGAGCAACGGGCGUCACGUGUGGCGCCACUGAGAGUACCCGGAGAAAAAGCAUCGGCUAACUCCGUGCCAGCAGCCGCGGUAAUACGGAGGAUGCGAGCUUUAUCCGGAUUUAUUGGGUUUAAAGGGUGCGUAGGCGGAUCGUUAGGUCAGUGGUCAAAUUGAGGGGCUCAACCCCUUCCCGCCAUUGAAACUGGCGUUCUUGAGUGGAAGAGAAGUAUGCGGAAUUCGCGGUGUAGCGGUGAAAUGCGUAGAUAUUGGGAAGAACACCGGUGGCGAAGGCGGCCUGCUGGACAUUAACUGACGCUGAGGCGCGAAAGCGUGGGGAGCGAACAGGAUUAGAUACCCUUGUAGUC